CCUGUUGUGAUGAAUGACUUACUUUCGUUCUUCUGAUCUUGCUGAAGCAAUUUAUUUCUUCUGAUAUGG